ensembl:snoRNA
AACACUUAUGUGUAUUUUUUGAACUUGUGGAUAAAGUCAUAAAAGACAGGUGCAAAAUCAAGUCUUUUGCAACCCAGAACUCGUUGUUCAGUUUGAAUGUUGAUACACAUAAGAAUGAAUGCA